GGGCGUAAAGGGCUCGCAGGCGGUUUCUUAAGUCUGAUGUGAAAGCCCCCGGCUCAACCGGGGAGGGUCAUUGGAAACUGGGGAACUUGAGUGCAGAAGAGGAGAGUGGAAUUCCACGUGUAGCGGUGAAAUGCGUAGAGAUGUGGAGGAACACCAGUGGCGAAGGCGACUCUCUGGUCUGUAACUGACGCUGAGGAGCGAAAGCGUGGGGAGCGAACAGGAUUAGAUACCCUGGUAGUCCACGCCGUAAACGAUGAGUGCUAAGUGUUAGGGGGUUUCCGCCCCUUAGUGCUGCAGCUAACGCAUUAAGCACUCCGCCUGGGGAGUACGGUCGCAAGACUGAAACUCAAAGGAAUUGACGGGGGCCCGCACAAGCGGUGGAGCAUGUGGUUUAAUUCGAAGCAACGCGAAGAACCUUACCAGGUCUUGACAUCCUCUGACAAUCCUAGAGAUAGGACGUCCCCUUCGGGGGCAGAGUGACAGGUGGUGCAUGGUUGUCGUCAGCUCGUGUCGUGAGAUGUUGGGUUAAGUCCCGCAACGAGCGCAACCCUUGAUCUUAGUUGCCAGCAUUCAGUUGGGCACUCUAAGGUGACUGCCGGUGACAAACCGGAGGAAGGUGGGGAUGACGUCAAAUCAUCAUGCCCCUUAUGACCUGGGCUACACACGUGCU
rnacentral:rRNA from 1 species